UACGUAGGUGGCAAGCGUUUGUCCGGAUUUACUGGGCGUAAAGAGCGCGCAGGCGGUCGAUCAAGUCGCGUGUGAAAGCCCCCGGCUCAACUGGGGAGGGUCACGCGAUACUGACCGACUCGAAGGCAGGAGAGGGUAGUGGAAUUCCCGGUGUAGUGGUGAAAUGCGUAGAUAUCGGGAGGAACACCAGUGGCGAAGGCGACUACCUGGCCUGUUCUUGACGCUGAGGCGCGAAAGCUAGGGGAGCAAACGGG
rnacentral:rRNA from 1 species